rnacentral:lncRNA from 1 species
CUGCGGGCUACUGGGAUGUGCGAUCCCCGCACACGGGGCGCCCCCAAGGCCCGCAGACAGGACCCCUGGCUACCGUGCACUGGUUCCCCCAACUUUCUGAACAGCUGGUCGCUGGGGAGCAAAGUCCCUCGCGGUCCUAGGGCCACAGGAACACCCGCGUCGCUCUCUCGGACGCACCUGGUUUCCGCCUGCCACACGGGGUCUAAAUUUCCUUCUCAGGUGUAGGAAACUGCUAUCCUUGACCGAUCCUUUCGAUUGCUUCAAGGAGGAUCUCUUUUGCAAAAUGUAAGCUAAAAAUCAGUGGGCGAGGAUUCAGGAAUGUUUUCACUUUUUACUCUCUCUAUAGGGUAAGUCAGUGAGCCCGAGAUUUCAUGCCCUUUUCUGAUUGACUCUGAAGUUAAGAUUGUGUUAGCUGUGGACUUAUACUAAUGCAGCCAUUCAAAUCCAAAGAUGUGAACACUGCAAAGUGACAGGACUUGGGACAUGUGAAAAGCAAAAGGAAAUAAAAAUGGGAAAUCUGAAGGUGACAUACAAUUAAAAUGGACAGAUAUAUAUCUUGAGAAAUCCACAGAUCCAUUACCUUCGUCUUAAACACUAGAUUCUUGGAAAUUAGAGAUUCAUUUUGCUCCUACAUCAAAUAGAACGUACUCUCUGUUAUACAUUAGGGAAACAUACUCAUUUCUAAUUUGGUUUUGCUUCGCAACGCCAUGUUUGAACCAGGUUCCAUUGAAAGUACUAUCUGUAAGUCAGAUCAGUUUAUUGUUCUGCCUCCAUUCCUAGCUGCAUUAGCAUUCUCUAGCUUCCCUUCUAUCUAGAUGUAGCCAAUAGGUUUAGCUCAUUAAACAGACAACAACUUUCAGAAACUACCUUCCACUCUCUUUUCCUGCCUUUGGCUACAUAGUAAAGAGAGCAGAACAACAAAUUCAAAAGAGUUUGAGCCUCAGAAUUACUCUUUAAGCAGGAGUACCCAUCGUUAUGAAUAUCUGUUUUGGGUUUUACACGAUGCAAGGAAAACUUGUCAGUUAUGUUUAAUGUUUUUAUACUAAGCAGCAGACAUGAAUGUCAAGAAUGAGCAACCUAGAAAUCCUUGCCCUUGAAGAGCUCACAGUGUAUUUAAUGUGUCACAAUCUAUAGUCAUAUUGUCCUGCUUGUUUACUGGUUGCCUACUUAUCUCAUAGGAGCAAAGACCUCGUCCAUUCUUUCCUGUGUGUCCAUCUACUGUGUUGCUGGCAUAGGGAAUUAUAAUGCACUCGUCAAAUAGAAACGUGGAUAGAUGAAAGACACUAGACAAAGCUCUCCGUGAUACCUCCCUUGUAGAGCUUACAGUAUGUAGAGGCAUGUUAACAAAUAGUGAACAGGAAUUGCAAAGCAUGUGUGAAGUAUGAUUAAAGGAAGGGCCAGCAGGUGGUCGGCUGCAGAUCUUCAAUGCAGGGAUAACUAGCCAGAAAAGUGACUGUUAAACUGGAGACUGAUGGAAGGAGAAGUUGGCUAAACCAAGUCAGAAGGGGACGGCAUGAUCAAGCUAGUGAUCAUGUAAAUAGAUACAUGUAUACAUGCAUGAAAUUUCUGAUAUAUACCUUUGUGGUCUGGUGAGUGGAAGGCCCAGCAAGGGUGUUGACAGUCACAGCAGUGUGGGGUAAUCCAUGGGUUGUGACCCCUGGCCACCAUGUAAAGUCUUGGGAUCAAGCUUUAUACAAGGGUCAUGAGGGGCUGAAGCUUCGUAGCAUCUGCACAGGCUAAGGAUUUUGUCUAACGUUUUUAUGAAAGUUCUAGAGGAGUUUUAGAGAUGAAAGAAAAUGGGCAGGCAAGAUUUAUUUUGGUGAUGGAUUAGACAGGACUCAGAAAAUUGGCAUCAAAGAUAAAAUACUCAAAUACUGGGUUUUGAGCGAGAACCAGGUGGAAAGAGCAUUUGUAGGGAUAAGCUAGACUGGAAUUCGAGUAGAUGUAAGACCAAGGAUAUGCAACGUCCUACUGUAGGAAAAGAAUGCUUCUGAAAACACAAUUCCAGUUCCUCCCUAGUUGAGCCUGCAACUUCACCCAAGAGUCAGGAGUAGACUGGGAAUGUUCUCAGGAGGAAGCAAAAUGGAAUUAGAUUUUAGAACAAGGCUGACAUUCUGGGACCAGAGAGGGAAAAUGCCCUUUUUAGUUUUUUAUUGACAGGUAUUCAGAGGGUGCCAAACUUGGGUAAGCAUACUUGAAACGGAGUAUGUGCAUGGGUAUUUCUUUGUUUCUUUUUUCCUGUUUACUCAUAGUGCUUGGAUUAUUCAAGCCCUCUUCAGUAUUCCUUGUAGUUUUCAAAAGUCUUGAAUUCUAUUUCUGUUCCUCACCUUAUCACUGAAUAACUAACUCCUCAUUAAUUUUCCUGAUAUCAGUAACCUCACUGUACACUGUCUGUUUUGGCUUUUCUCUUUGAAAAAUUUUGUACUUUGGUUCCAAGGAGUCAAAUAAUAUCAGACAAUAAAAGCAAUAAACUACUUUCUCUGAG